rnacentral:rRNA from 1 species
AGUGAACGCUGGCGGUAGGCCUAACACAUGCAAGUCGAACGGCAGCACAGUAAGAGCUUGCUCUUACGGGUGGCGAGUGGCGGACGGGUGAGGAAUACAUCGGAAUCUACCUUUUCGUGGGGGAUAACGUAGGGAAACUUACGCUAAUACCGCAUAUGACCUACGGGUGAAAGCAGGGGAUCUUCGGACCUUGCGCGAUUGAAUGAGCCGAUGUCGGAUUAGCUAGUUGGCGGGGUAAAGGCCCACCAAGGCGACGAUCCGUAGCUGGUCUGAGAGGAUGAUCAGCCACACUGGAACUGAGACACGGUCCAGACUCCUACGGGAGGCAGCAGUGGGGAAUAUUGGGCAAUGGGCGCAAGCCUGAUCCAGCCAUACCGCGUGGGUGAAGAAGGCCUUCGGGUUGUAAAGCCCUUUUGUUGGGAAAGAAAAGCAGCAGGUUAAUACCCCGCUGUCCUGACGGUACCCAAAGAAUAAGCACCGGCUAACUUCGUG